UCUCUCUUCAUUAUCUUCACCUCUACUCGUUUCUCCCUUUGCUCUACUUCUCACCUUCGUUCUUCAUUUUGUCAUCGUCCCUUGCUCGCCCUUGACCUCCUUCUCCUUUGCUCUGCGAUCUAACCGAAGAUAGCUGUCACCACCUGAUCUUGACCGUGCGUGUUGCUUGUGUUUAUGGCUAUUGGUAACAAUUUUGGCUACGCAACUAGGUCGUUCAGUGCAGCUCACAAUUUUCUCUCUUCUGGAAAAUGCAAGCAAGCCUUUGUGGUUGUCAUCGUCUUUGCAAUCGCCGCCAUCAUUGUUCGUGUGUUUUGCCAUGGCUCAGUUGAGGUUGGUGUCCAUUCAUAGUUAGCUAUCCAUUGUUUGUGGGUUUUUGCAUCGUCUCUUGUUCGUUAGCCCAUGAGUUCAGCAGUAGUUGUUGUCCGUUGUGCUUGCUUGUUCUAAAUCUGGAUCUGAUGAUUCUGGUCAACAUGAAGCGGGUUGAGGAAGAAGAAGUGGACUGCGGAGGAGGAUUAAUUAUAAAUAUAUUUUAAUAUAAUUAUAAUUAUAAUAUUAUAAUAAUUUA